rnacentral:tRNA from 1 species
CCGUAGCUCAGCGGAUAGAGCUCCCGCCUUCUAAGCGGGAGGUCGUUGGUUCGAAUCCAACCGG